rnacentral:rRNA from 1 species
GGCCAGACUCCUACGGGAGGCAGCAGUGGGGAAUAUUGCACAAUGGGGGGAACCCUGAUGCAGCGACGCCGCGUGGGUGAAGAAGCGCCUCGGCGCGUAAAGCCCUGUCAGCAGGGAAGAAAAUGACGGUACCUGAAGAAGAAGCCCCGGCUAACUACGUGCCAGCAGCCGCGGUAAUACGUAGGGGGCAAGCGUUAUCCGGAUUUACUGGGUGUAAAGGGGGCGCAGACGGCGAUGCAAGCCAGGAGUGAAAGCCCGGGGCCCAACCCCGGGACUGCUCUUGGAACUGCGUGGCUGGAGUGCAGGAGGGGCAGGCGGAAUUCCUGGUGUAGCGGUGAAAUGCGUAGAUAUCAGGAGGAACACCGGUGGCGAAGGCGGCCUGCUGGACUGCAACUGACGUUGAGGCCCGAAAGCGUGGGGAGCAAACAGGAUUAGAUACCCCAGUAAG